GGGCCCGUAGCUCAACUGGCAGAGCAGCAGACUCUUAAUCUGUUGGUUGAAGGUUCGAUUCCUUCCGGGCUCACCA
rnacentral:tRNA from 3 species